UCGUCAAUGAAGCUUUAGCCAAUUGGACAAUGUCAUCGUUUCCCUAAUUAUUUUGUUUCCUUUGUCACGAAUUAAAAACACAAAAAAAUCGCAAAUAUCCAAUGAAAAUUACAGUUAAUAUUUUCGAAGCUUCGAGAAAAUUCGACUGUGAAUUUCGUGCGACCUUCUUAUACUUUGUUUCGCAGUAGUCGCGUACACACCUCGAUAUAUUUUUAUCACUACGUGGUGGUGCACCGUUUGUUCUACGGUCAAUGCUCAACUCCAUUAGUUGCUAAAUCCAUUCAAGUUUUUCGAUUAGAGAAUUCGUUGAGAGUCGCGAACGUACUCGAAUGUUCCAGGAGGAGCAUCAUCUCGUUCAUACACAUCUUACAAUUCCAAUACGCCCGACUGUUCGAGAGCGUUCCAGUUUAUUUUCUUACCAUCACGUAUAGUACGUAUAACGGCCUGGAAAGUGGAAAGAGCGAUGAAUCUAGAAACUUCUGGAUCGUCGAAGGUUUGGGCGCAUUGCCAGACCCCUACAUCUCCUCCCCGUUUGCUCCGCGCUCGUCGGAAACGACGAGAACGUUCUCGGGCGUCCAACGAGUAUUUUCGGUACGUCGUGUAACCUCGUUACGGUUUUUGUUGCUCGCAAAUUCUCAAUGCGUUUUUUUACACAUGCAAACUUCUUACCGAAGUUCUGUAUCCAGAACGUACGUUUGAUGAUACUUUUAAGCAGUGCUAUGCAAAUACGUAUUCCGGUACUUAAAAAAUUCAUAACCUCAAGAACUACGGCUGGAUACCAUUAGUCAUUUUUACGAUAUUUUUUUCGAAUUCCAAAUCAAUUUCUAGAUACUAAUCCGUAAUUUCGUAAUAUUUCGUAAUAUAACCUAGUAUGCCUUAAAACUUGAAAAUUUUUUUAUAAAUUUGGAUUUAUUCCAGACUUAAUAAAAAAUUUCUAGAAAACUGAAAGAGGGAAGAGUUAAUUUUUCGCAAAGUAGAAUGCUUUUCAUGGUUUUUGUUACCAAAUGUUAAACGAAAGGUCGGAAUAGCCAAUAACAAAAUAAUUGUAAAGGAGUUUCAGACAUGAUACGAUUGAAAAAAAUGGGACUAGAAAUAGAAACCAGAGAAAUGUUAUUAUAUCCUUAGAACUUUCCAGGUGAAACUCUGCAAAUAAAGUUGGAAAUGAUUUGGAGCCUCAGAUAAUUGAUAAAAAUGUUCUUUGGAUGGCCGUUGUUAAUUGGCCUGUCCAACCUAUUUCAAGGUCUACUAACUACACGACUAAGCUGGCACGCUGCGUACUUGCAACAGUUGGUUAUUCAGGACUGGGACCAGUUGGGAUCGUUGAUGUGUUUUUCACCGCCGGAUCGCCAAUGGAAACUGCCAGGAUUCCUUAGUACCAGCAUAUCAGGAGAUUUGUCGUAAUACGUCAAUUGGUGACGUUCGAAUGCCUCAUUUCCAAGAAUAUCAAGGGUCACUCCACCGAUUCGCGAAUGCGUUCCCUGUAAAGAUGAACGACGAUCGAUAUACCUUGAAACAUUUAUCGACAACCUCAUCAGCAAGGCCAACAGCUUCGAAGAUUUGGGCUCCUUUGUAAGAUUGGAGGGUGGAUAUGCCCAUCUUCGCCAUAACUUUUGCAAUACCACGUUCCAUGGCUUCACUAUAAUUCUGUAAAAAUUUCAAAUUGAAUGAACUGAUACAGACAAAUGUUCUAAGAUCUGACACAGAGGACAGGUCGAUAAAAUGAAAUUGGAAGAAAAAAAAGGACGUACCUUGUA
rnacentral:lncRNA from 1 species